rnacentral:rRNA from 1 species
AUUGAACGCUGGCGGCAUGCUUUACACAUGCAAGUCGAACGGUAACGCGGGGGCAACCCUGGCGACGAGUGGCGAACGGGUGAGUAAUACAUCGGAACAUGUCCUGGAGUGGGGGAUAGCUCGGCGAAAGCCGGAUUAAUACCGCAUACGCUCUGAGGAGGAAAGCGGGGGACCUUCGGGCCUCGCGCUGCAGGAGUGGCCGAUGUCGGAUUAGCUAGUUGGUGGGGUAAAGGCCCACCAAGGCGACGAUCCGUAGCUGGUCUGAGAGGAUGAUCAGCCACACUGGGACUGAGACACGGCCCAGACUCCUACGGGAGGCAGCAGUGGGGAAUUUUGGACAAUGGGGGCAACCCUGAUCCAGCCAU